rnacentral:tRNA from 1 species
GCUGGGAUGGCGGAGCAGUCAAACGCGCCGGUCUGUAAAACCGGAGCCGCAAGGCUACAUAGGUGCAAAUCCUAUUCCCAGCA